UUUUCAUUAUUUCAUCCACAGGUGCUGCCAACCUGCUUGCAAGAGAGUUUAAGAAAAGAGAAUUUGAUUACGACAUGGCUCGUUAUGGCCGUGAUUUUAGCGCCUGUUGCAGCCCGGAUUGUGAUUGGUUGCUUGAUUACUUGGAAAUUGAUUCCUCUGUAGUGAAAUGUCUGGACCGCAAAUAAAGCCAUUUUUUGUGCAAAAUUACUAAAAGAGACAAAAAAAGAACACUAAGCGACCCUGUGAAUCUUGCAACUGAAAAAUGUAACUUUUAAGAGAUGUCUGCACGUUAAGGGUGUCCAUGGUAGUCAGAUUUAAUUAUUGAAAUCAAACUCAUGUUGUACAGAACUAUCACUUGAAAAUUAAAUGAACUAUAUCACAGUCAACC